UCUUGUGGCGAGUGGCGAAUCUUCGGCAUGCCAUGUAAGCAUGCUUGUGCUUGCAUCGAGAAGGCCGACAGAUCCUUGUACCAAUUCACUGACAUUUGGUUCCAAGCUGAAUUGUAUAGAACAACAUAUGCCGAAGCAAUUAAUCCAAUUCCUGAUAUUGAGGAGCCGCACAGUGCAUCUGAAGAGAUUCACAUUCUACCCUCUAUGAAAAAGACACGUCCUGGCAGGCCUAAAAAGAAGAGAAGACCUUCUCAAGUUGAGUUAGUACGUGAUAUGAGAUGUGGACGAUGCGGGAAGCUUGGGCACAACAGAAGGACAUGUUAUGAGGUCAUACUGUAAACAAUAUGGUGCUCUACUAUACAUUGAAGGUAUGGAACACCUUUGGCACACCCUUGGCACACCUUUUGCACACUCUUGGCACACCUUUGGCACACCAUUGCAUACAGUUUUAAUCCCAUGGCACGCCAUGGCACACCCUGUAUUCUUAUUAUAAAUGCCAUUAUACACCAUGUUUUUUAAUAGAAAUCUGAAGAAGAAAAAAAACAUCGCUUUAAGCUCUGUGCACACAGUUACCUGUUACCUGCUUCUCUGCACACAGUUACCUGUUACCUGCACUCAGAUAUGGUUUCUGUGCACACUUAAAACUUAAGCAAUCUGAUUUUUUUCCCUUACUUAUCUGGUACUUUCAGAUUCUAGAUGGUCUAAAAGUGGUGCAAUUGCAAUGGCCAAAUGCUUAUCGAUGGUGCAGUCGAGAAUAUGGGGAAGGAUGUGGUGACGUUGUAGUAAAGGAAGACCUUUUGAAGUAAAGGAAGUUGAUUGUUGAUGUUGUCAACUAAUACAAUUUUUGGAUAAUUUCAGAAUUUAUCAAUGUGGAAUACUAUUAAGUUCCUUUUUCAUAUUAAUUUGUUGAUGUUAGCUGAUGCUAUGCCUUUUUGGGUGGCUGAUUUAUGUGGAGAGACCUUCUGUUGA